rnacentral:rRNA from 1 species
CCGUAAACGAUGCCAACCAGCGAUUAGCCUGAGUUCCUUAAAUGACUCGGCUAGCAGCUUCCGGGAAACCAAAGUGUUUCGGUUCCGGGGGAAGUAUGGUUGCAAAGCUGAAACUUAAAGGAAUUGACGGAAGGGCACCACCAGGAGUGGAGCCUGCGGCUUAAUUUGACUCAACACGGGAAAACUUACCCGGCCCGGACACUGGCAGGAUUGACAGAUUGAGAGCUCUUUCUUGAUUCAGUGGGUGGUGGUGCAUGGCCGUUCUUAGUUGGUGGAGCGAUUUGUCUGGUUAAUUCCGAUAACGAACGAGACUCUAGCCUACUAAAUAGGCCACCGGCUUACUGACGUCGGUGGGACUUCUUAGAGGGACAGCGGCGAUUCAGCCGCACGAAACAGAGCAUAACAGUCUGUGAUGCCCCUUAGGAUGUCCCGGGGCCCGCACACGGCGGCGCCUACCACUUGAGGUGAUCAACCGUGGCAUUAACAAAACCCUGCCUCCGUUCAGGAGAGUGGGGGAAACCCCAUUGGAACCCUUCUUUCCGUGGAUGGGGAUAAGGGGGAAUUGUAUUAAUUUCCCCCUUGAACCAGAGGAAAUUUCCCAAGUUAAGGCGCCGGAUCAUAUAAGGCUCCCGCGGUGGAUACCGUUCCCUUGCCCCUUUGGUAACCCACCCGGCCCGUUCCGCUCUACCUACCCGGAUGAGAAUGAGAUUUAGGUGAGAGGUCUUUCGGAACUGUGCCCGGCGCGCAGCUCUGUUCUUUCGGGGCGCGGCCGCCGCUGUGUGUUUGGGGAAAGAGUUGCCCCAAACUCUUGGAUAUCAUUUAAAAGAGGAAGGUAAAAAGGUCGUUAACAAGGGUUUUCCGGUAAGGUUGAAACCUGGCGGAGAGGAUCAAGGGGCCAAAUUCGUUUUAAACCUGGCGAGACUUAUUCCCUUUUAGUGGAGGGUAUAUUCGAACCUGGACGAGAAGUGAGUUUUUCUCUGUGUCGCUGAGAGACUCUC